rnacentral:rRNA from 1 species
CUAGCUGUAAACGAUGGAUACUAGGCGUUGAGAGUAUCGACCCUCUCAGUGUCGUAGCUAACGCGUUAAGUAUCCCGCCUGGGGAGUACGCGCGCAAGCGUGAAACUCAAAGGAAUUGACGGGGGCCCGCACAAGCCGGUGGAGUAUGUGGUUUAAUUCGAUGCAACGCGAAGAACCUUACCAGGGCUUGACAUGUCCGGAACCCUGCCCAAAGGCGGGGGUGCCUACGGGAACCGGAACACAGGUGGUGC